UUAUUGACCAGGAAUGCCUUCUUGAUAAAAUAAAAAUGUGGCAAAACGAGGAUCCAUCAGUAAAUAUUUUUUUUCGACCUAAAAACAACUACACAUUAAAUAACAUAGCAGACAAAAUACAUAAAAAUGAAGACAUUAAUGAAGAAGAAGAUGAUUUGAAGUUUACUGAAAAUGAUUCAGAAAAAUCACUAUUAUUUGUUUACCAAUCAGAAUGGCAAUGCUCCUUUUAGAUGCAACCUAUAAAACCACCAGAUAUGUUUUACCAAUUUUUUUUAUAGUAGUCAAAACAAAUGUUGACUACCAAAUAGUUGGAUGCUUUAUUACAGAAAAUGAAACGAAAAGAGCAAUCUAUGAGGCAUUGCAUGUUUUUAAAAAAAUGAAUCCAAACCUUUCUCCUAAAUUUUGCAUGACAGAUUACUGUAAUGAGGAAAUUGAUGCAUUGGUAGAAACUUUUCCUGGUAAGUUUUUUGAAUAGUUAGAAUUUCAAUAAAGUCUCCGUGUUUACAAUAGUUCUUUGGUUGUUAUAACAGAGGGUGCAAAAUUAUAAAAAGAAGGUGCGAAAAAGUUUUUGGUUUUUGUUUGCGCUGGGUUUAAGUUAAUUUACGCUUUUUGUUUAGAUUGUAAAGUUUUGGUCUGCGAUUUUCAUCGGGAACAGGCCUGGGAGCGUUGGUUGGUAAAAGUCUCAAAUGGUUGUGCUAAUCACAAAUCCAAUAUCCUGCUCAAACUGAGAAAAAUUGCUCAUUCAACAACUAUAAAUGCUAUGGAGUUAGCUGUAAUGGAUUUGAAACAAUCUGAUUUUUGGAAUAACGAAAACUUUUUAAAGUUAAGAAAGUAUAUAGAAACUUAUUGGUUACCUAUCAAAGAGCGUUGGGUUUGGGCAUACCGUCAAAACCGCCUACUUGUUAAUUUAAACACUAACAAUGGAGUGGAGAGGCAAAACAAAUCUUUUAAAUAUUUUUACCUCCAACGAUUUAAAAAUUAUUCAUUAACUGGAAUGCUAACAAUCUUAAUUGAAGAGUUUUUUAUAGAUAAAUAUCAAAGCUAUACUGAAAAGAACUUCAAAAUGGACUCGAGGUAUCGUCGAUACGCAAAAAUAAUACCAAAUUUUUUAAUAAAUAGGCCUCGUGCAUUGGUCAAGCAUUGCCUUCAGAAAAUCAGUUUAGCUGGAAGCAUUGAUUUAUCUAAAGUCACAAUGAUAAACCAUGGGGGUUUUUCCAUUAAAAAUAAUAAAGAAAACUACCAAAUUAAUUUUGGAAAUGAUAGAUCUAUGCCUAACUGCACAUGUCCUUCCUGGCGUUCAUCUUGCUUUCCCUGCAAGCAUUUUUUUGCCAUUUUUAGAAAGUUUCCACUCUGGCAAUGGGAUGCAUUGUCAGAACUCUAUCUUAAUUCACCAUUCUUAACAUUAGACGAUGAAGAAAAUACUUUACCUGACAAAAUAAAUUGUUUUCAAAAUAAAGAAACUUUGUAUGCAACAAAUGAAUGUGACAUUAGUUUACCAAUUUCUAAAAAUCUAGACUUGUCUGAAGAAAUAAAUGCCAAAAAAAUGUGUAAUAUUGAUUUAAAAAAAGAAAGUGUUUCUGCUGGGGACUGUAGGGAGCUCAUUAGUUUAAUUAAAAAUCAAUUGUAUGAGGUCAACAAAAGUACCAGUCUUUUUACAGAAGUAUAUAGCCUGUUACUGAAAGCGUCAAAGCUUUUACAAGAAAAUACUACCCACGAGAGUGGCAUACCUAUUAUUCAGCAACAACAUGUUAAAAACUUUAAACUUUUAGACUUGCCAAAAAAGCAUAAAAAAAAACAUAUUCUAAUCGCUGUGGAUUGGCUAAGGAUAAAAAAAUAGCUGAUGGCAAAAUAAAUGUUACAACAUUUACAUGCCAUGACGUCAAUGUGGAGGAGGAAGUAGUUAUUGAAGACAUGGAGCUAGAUGACCUUACUUCAUUUACUUCUAAUGUACCCGAUGUGUAUGUACAGUCAGAAGGAGAAUUUGAGAAAAUGUUAGUAAUAAAAGACAACAUUGAAGAUUCCUCCUAUAUUUUAAAUUCUUGUUUUGAUAUUCCCAGACAUUACUUUGAAGCGAUUGGUAGCAAUGAAAUGCUAACUGACAACAUCAUUAAUGCUGCACAAAAAAUGUUGCUAUGUCAGUACCCUAAUGCUAAAGGUUUACAAGACCCCAUUCUUGGCCAAAACCUCAGUUUUAGCAUUCUAAAAGAUGAAGAGUUUGUUCAAGUGUUGCAUGAUGGGUGUGCUCAUUGGUUUGCGAUUAGCACAGUAAACUGUUUAUCAGGGCAUGUUUUUGUAAUGGAUAGUUAUUUUAGAGGUAAACUUAGCCAUGCCACAAUGAGACAAAUAUGUUCAAUAAUUCGUUGCCCAUUAAGUAAAAUUAAAGUUACAGUUUUACCAGUUCAACAACAGACAAAUGGUAUUGACUGUGGCAUCUAUGCAAUUGCUUUUGUACAAUACCUGUUACAUUUUAAGGACUAUCCCACAAAUGUGAAUUUUGAUCAAACAAAACUGAGAACCGAGCUGCUUAACUCUUUUAAAAACAACUAUUUAAGUUUGUUUUCAACCACAACAAACAAUGUCAGACGAAAUGUUGAAAAGGAGAUAUAUUUAGAUUUAUACUGCACUUGCAGAAUGAUUUGGGUCCCAUCAGAUAAAAAUAUAUUUGGAAGGCACAUGGUAGAAUGUUCAGGAUGUUUGCAGUGGUUUCACAGAAUGUGCGAAAUAAUUUCAGAUAAUGUUCUUAAUGAUGACAAUAUCAACUGGCAUUGUUCAACUUGUGAUAAAAUAAAAUAAUGAUACUU